rnacentral:rRNA from 1 species
UACGUAGGGGGGCAAGCGUUGUCCGGAAUCAUUGGGCGUAAAGAGCGUGUAGGCGGCUCGGUAAGUCCGCUGUGAAAGUCCAGGGCUCAACCCUGGAAUGCCAGUGGAUACUGUCAAGCUAGAGUCCGGAAGAGGCGAGUGGAAUUCCUGGUGUAGCGGUGAAAUGCGCAGAUAUCAGGAGGAACACCAAUGGCGAAGGCAGCUCGCUGGGACGGUACUGACGCUGAGACGCGAAAGCGUGGGGAGCAAACAGG